rnacentral:lncRNA from 1 species
UUCUGCGUGUGUUCCUGCAUGACUUGGUGUGUCCCCUUCUCUUGGAUCUGUCAGCCUGCACACAGGCCUGUGCUCUUCAAGACCACGCAGGCCUCACCAUUCCCUCUGACAGCUCACUGCUGCCCUUCUUCACACACGCAAGUUCCCUGUGUGACAUCUGAGUUGGUGACUGUGGCUUCAAAUGAUCAGGAAAACUGCAGUUGACAGCAGAUAACUGAAAGCUCGGAAAGCGAAACCGUGGAUAAGCAGGGGAACUGUGGCAUCCCAUUUAAAAUUGCUUCUGAAGAGAAGCAUGAGGUUACAUCUGUAAUCUCCCUGCAGCAGAGUCAACUGCAUAAGAAACCAAAAGACACACCUGCUCCAUGCCAGCUUCGAUAAUUUCUUUGUACCUUCGGCGAAAGAAGCCCAUCUGAAAGGCAGAAAGAAAGAGGAGAAGCUGAGUUAGAAGUGCUGAAGAAUCAGCCAUUGUGACCCCAAGGCAGUCUGUCCCUGGGUAGGUGUGACCUGCACUCACAGGGCUGGGGAGGCUUGGAGGACCCCUCGGAUUAGAGAAAACACUGGCAAGAAAAACAUCCGGUGGAGACAUUUUUCAAAAUGCAUGGACUUCCUGCGGGUGAUAUUAGGUUUUCCUGAGAUCACCUUCCAAAUAAAUGACUUGCCCUCAAAUCAUUGUUUCAAUCCCCUUGAAUAGAGGAAAUCAAACAGAGACACACACUUGACCUGGUGCUGGUAGGCUUGCCACACUGCAGGUUGUGGUACCAUGGUAUCAUCAGCUUGCAAUUCCCAAGUCAUAUUGGAAAACCCUCAAGACUCUUUGCAGUCUGCUGCCAACAGUGCAUGCACAUAUAAGACGUGUCCUACACAAAUCAUGAAGCAAACCCAGCUGUCAUGGGCACAUCAAAUGUUUUUGUUGUCUGUAUUUGUCCUCAGGCUUCUUCACUGUGAGCCAAACAUCCAGGGAAGCAUCACAGCCACCCUGAUGGUCAUAAGCUCCCCUGAAGAAGGGAAGGCAGGUGGACCUGAGGAGCUGUCUGUUGCCACCAUCUUUCUACUUCCCUAAAGGGGGCUUAUUGGCCAAGCCAAAGACGAGAACUGUCAAGAGAGCCAGCAGGUAUCUUCACCCACGUUGCCAAGGAGAUCCUGAGCAUUCACUGUGAGGGGAAGUCGAUAAGGUGGUGCAGUUUGAAUGACUGGGAAAGAGCAGAAGCUUUCUUAGAACAACUGGCAAGAGUCUUGUGUUCUGAGCUUCAAUCCUCAAGGCCAGUUUUGUAAACAGAUAUUGAGUUCCUGGUGAUUUCAGCCCUGGAGGUUUCUUCCCAGCAUAAGACCACAUUCAUCAGAAUGCCACGUUCUGACGCCCCCACACAUAUACUUUUCUCUCCUGAAACCUCUUCACCUUCUCCCCUCUGCAAGAGAUGUGGAAAAGGUGCUUGGCCAGAAUUUUCUGGAUAAUUAAGAAAAAGUCAUAGACAUCAUCCCCACAGCACACCCACAGAAGGCCAGAAAAACGGACCAAGACUGAAUGGAAAUCUAAGAAGCUACUGCUUGAAAUGUCAUUCUUUUGCGAUAAAGGUGUGGUUGGCCAAGAAAACAUGACCAGAUGUGGCUGGUCACAUGCCAUGAAGGAGAAUGUAAUCAUGAAACUGUGGAAGGAUGUAACAGGGAAAUAAGAUUCUCUAGCACAUACCUUUGGCUGCUGAUGUUGUAAUGUGUCAAUAAUCCCAGGUCACUCAGUUGUAAUUCCAGAGAAGUCACAUUUCCCUACCAUGGCACUAUCAAGCAGAAACUUAACAGUCUGCCCUCUUAUUAUCUCCUGCAUUUGUCUUAGGACUCCUUGAAGGCAGGCUUUGUGCUUUCAAUCCCCAGUACUCAGCAUCUCACCUGUCCUUGGUACCAGCGAUAAAUUGCAAAGAUGCCCACAUACCCUCCACACCCUUUACCAUGUGACUCUCCAGCUCUUCCCAUCAUGAGGUGGAGUCUAUUUUCCCAGCCUUGAUUCUCCACUGAGACUAGCUUUGACAAUUGGAUGAGAGGGAGGAGAUGUUGUGUCUGUUACACACUUAGUCCCCAAGGGGCUGUGCACACUUCCAAUUACUUUCUCAGAACCCUGCCCUGCUUCCACACAAAUGCCUUUGUCUAACCUGCUAAGAGACCAGUUUUUUUUUGAAGCCCUCCCAGACUAGCCAACUCCCAGCUGCCCGCAGAGGCUCUUGUAAGUCUCGCUGAGCUCAAACUGCCCCACUGAGCUCAGUCCAAAUAGCCAACCCACAGAACUGUGACCUGCAUAGAUGGAUAUUGCUUUUAAGCCGCUCAAUACUGGGGUGGUUUGUCAUGUAGCAUAAGUUAACUGGUACAGACUCAAUAUUUUUUUUGCUGACUUAAUGAAUCAGACAGACAGCUGAUAGGGCUCUAGAUUUAAACAGCAUCAGUUAGUGUGCCUUGCGGAACUGGACUUUUCACUUUUUUUUUUUUUUUUGAGACAGUGUCUCACUCUGUCACCCAGGCUGGAGUGCAAUGGCAUCAUCUCGGCUCACUGCAACCUCUGCCUCCCAGGUUCAAGUG